UUUUGCUUACUUUUUGUUUAUUGACAAACAUGCAUAAAUGUUUGUUUUAAAUUAUUGACACACGUGCAUAAUUUAAAAAAACAGGAAGUGUUUUAUGUCUGCUUGAUUUAUAUCAAUCUGUAUGGUCAUGGGGCUGAUUAGGCUAUUGUUGGUCAAAGUCAGUGGUGGACAGUGACUUUUCUUCUGAGGAGCGCAAGUUCGAAUAUGUGUUUGGAGUGUCAUGUGUGUGGCUCAUCACAUCAAAUACCCUGUCCCAAAUGGCGCAUGUCAUGAUUUCAGAGGAAACGGGACCUAAGUGCAAGGUUAGGUUAACUCAAAAGGGUUUAUUUAUAACAAAAAUGCCCACGUGGGGGCAAUAGACAAAACAUUAACCGACAACUGCAAAGGACAAGACUGAGACGAGCACACACUAUGACAAGACUAGACUUGACUUGACUUGACUUGAUUCUUGACUAACUGGUAGCAAGCACAAUGGUUCAAGACAUACAUUCAAACAAUACAAAACGAUUCAGCACAGGACAGAGAACACUGGGGCCUUAAAUAGGAAGGCUAAACAAUAUAACGAGAGGAGGUCAGGUGAGGGGAGUUAACCAAUGAAUAAUUAACGAGGAGACAAGGGGGUGGCAACAUAAAUGAGACACAGCAGCACACAGACCAAACAAAGGCCAUGUGCUACAACACAAAACAUGGGUACUGUCACAAUCCUGCCACAUGACUAUGGACAACUAUGAAUAACUAUAGGUGUGUUCGACUUCAUGUGGCGCUGCGCAGACCGAUCGGCGGCUGACUUGAAGCAGUGCAUUCCGUUAGUAAUUUUGUCCGACUUAGCAGGCACUUGACUGUGUCAUAUGGUUUUUAAGUACCGCGAGAGCGUUUCGAGAGUAGCCGGCUAGCUCAGCCGGUGCAGCUUCUCCAGAGCGGCUGCACGGAGUUGUGAUGACGACACAGCUUUACGUGAUUGGUCGCCUCACUGAUGACAACGAUCACGUGCGUUUCAAGUUUAAAGCUAACUAAACCCCUGGUCAGAGCCUGACUCCUCCCACUGGCAAUAUUUGAAAAAUGCAAGAAAAGUGGGCAGAUCCCAACGGAGAUAGAGGGGAUGAACUAAGCUCGUACCAAGUGUGUGGUGAGAGAUCGUAACAAGGGCGUGGUGAGCUUGAACCUGCUUACGUCACAAGUCAUUUUUUGGAACCAACAUCCAAUAGGGAAAUUCAACUGCAGUAGCCACCGUUCAACCUGAAGAGGGCAGCACUCAGACGUUUUUACACCAUAUAUUAUUGUAUUGAAACACUUUAUAUCCAAAUGUCAAAAAUCAAUGAACAGCACUAAUAAAGCAUCAUUCUUACAGAUCAUUAACUAAAAAAAGUUGAUUUAGGGUUUAGUUACUCUUUAAUCCAACCUUUAGUUCCACUAAUAAACAUUAUAAAUCCAUGUUUUAAAACAGGAAAAAGCACGUUAAUAUGCAUAAAUAUGUUAUAUUGUGUUGUGUAAUAAAAUAAAAAUGAAAAUAACAAACUCUAUUGGUAUUUUAAUAAUAUAGGCUUGUUUCACGUUAUUUUCGGGUAAGCAAAAAUUAAAAUAUUCGAUAUUAAAUGUUUCUGGUUGCAACUUUUUAUUAAAAGAUUUGUUUUUAUCAAAUUCAACAUCUAAUUCACUUCAUUCGUGAUUAAAAACAAGGAAACACGGCGCACACGUCACUACGGCAAGCAGCACCUUAUGACAAACUGGCAGGAUCAUGACAGCGCACUUCACUUAAAGGGGACAUGUCACAAUAAUUUUUUAAGAUGUCAAAUAAAUAUUUAAUAUCCCCAGAGCACAUAUAAUUGAAGUUUUAGCUCAAAACACCAUAUAAAUAAUUUAUUAUAGCAUGUUAAAAUUGCCACUUUGUAGGUGUGUGAAAAAUAAUAAUAAGAUCUCCUUAUGACAUUUUUAUAAUUUUUCAUGUGCUUGCAGAGAAUGGAUUACCAAAAGUAAAUGACUUGGUUGAUCUUUUUCACAUUUUCUAGGUUGAUAGAAGCACUGGGAACCCAAUUAUAGCACUUAAACAUGAAAAAAGAUUUACAUGGCCCCUUUAAAUUGUGCUUGCUUGCUUAGUCUACGAGUCCGUAGGGUGUCCCAUCUGUCAUUUUUACGCUGUAAAGUGUGCUCAUCAGCACCCCCUUUGCAAACUGAUGUGGUCUUCAGCGAAGCCCGCACUGCUGCAGGCUUCACGCACUUUACCAAACCAGAACUCCUUGCGAAAGAGCAAUCAGAUGACGGAUAGGAGGAGUUCAUACUGAUUGGCAACUUCUCUUCCUAUUCCUGCGUAACGCUUGAGUCUGUCCCAAAAUACGACUCCCGUGAACCCGUUUCAAAGGUUCUAAAGUCUGCACUAUAUGAUGCCAUCCAAUUGUGGACUCUAAAGGAGUGUGCCAUUUGGCACAGGGCCAAAAUGUGUUCGUUGUGUUAUGUGAACCAUGUGAAUGACACAACGAACACAUUUCAAAAUAUGUGCCUGCUGCACACGAUUUGAAAGAGUUUAUAAGAGACGCUAACAUUUACAAAAUACUUGCAAGACACUCACUUAACACUAAACUCUGAUUACACAUGCCGCGGGGUACACAUAUUUUGACUAUCCACACACAUGACGGGCUAAAUACAUGUUCUGAUGAGUGUAGUGAUGAUGCCAUCUUUCUCUCUCUCUCUCUCUCUCUCUCUCUCUCUCUCUCUCUCUCUCUCUCUCUCUCUCUCUCUGUAUAUAUUAGUGUUCAGUGGCAGAGUGAGUGUAGAGCUCAGCAGAAGAGAGGUUCCUGUUUACGGCCAAGCUAAAGUUUUUGCUCUGAUCUCCUCGGUUAAAGAGGAACAGAUAUUUGUGGUUCUAGAAGGAUCCACUUUACUACAUGUUUUACAAACUAGAGUUCACUCCAUGCUGUACUUCAUCGCCCCAGGUCAUAACCAAUCAGAGACGGUGUGUGUCCGAGCAUAUACAUAUACUAAUGGUGAGGUAACGUGUGUGGGCAUGACUUAUCUAACAUACAUUGAGGACGAUGCCCAGGAGUUGGCAGAAUACCUGGUAACCCAUAGCAACUGCCUCAGCACCACUGAACACAGAGACUUAAUUGGUCAAUAUGGUUUGAAUGACAGCACUGCCCGGAUAAAGAUGGAUGAAAGAGUUACUCUCGCGCUAGCCAAUCUACACACCCCGCAUAACCUCCUCAUCCAUUCUUCUCAAGAAUCUCUACUGCAUGUGUGUGUACGGCUGGGUUUUGUGAACGUCUCCGAGUUUCUUCUCUGUCAGCCUGGUGCCCUGAUGGCUAUCUGCUCGACCAAUGAGGACGGAGACACCCCCCUACAGCUGGCCCAACAGUCCAAUCAGCACGCUCUAAUUAAACUUUUCCAGCACCCUCCAAAUCCACUAGCCACACCCCUGGCAGGUGUAUCUCAGGUGUGGGUGGGGACAUCCCACCUCCUCAGGUUUAGCCAUGCCUUUGGGAUGCUGUGUCUGUCUGUGUGUGUAUCGGAGGACACGGUCAAAACCCUACAGUCAUCCAUAUUCCUCCUUCGAGAGUGUUUAAGAGACUCUGCACUUCUAAACAAGAUCAAAGGACUGAAUGGGAAAACAGAGCGAAGACCUGAAAGAAACACAACGGUUUCAUUUACAGAAGGAUCAUCAUCAUCUCUGCCUCACAAUGUGUGGAUGAACAGUUUGUCACUGGACGAAGAAGAGGAACUUUUAUCUUCUGAUGACUCAGAUGAACCCACAUCUUGUUCCGACUCAACAAGCAGUUCCCCCAUUGGCUCCAGCGUUACCAUAACAACCAGCAUUAACACCCUGCAGUCUGCAGAUGAUCAGAGUUCUUCAGAUUCAGAAACAGAUUCAGAGUCCGAGGCAUCUGAACCAGACUCACCAACUCCUGAUAGAUCACCAGCCUCCAGCUCAAAAGACGAGCCAUUCACCUCCAAUGAUGAAGAAACAUUAGAAGAAAAAGAACGAAUGCACUGCAGUAAGUCAGAGGAGGAAGAGGAGGAGGAGAGAGGUACAUUUAUCCCUCCGAACAAGAGCGAGACAGACAAAUAUAAAGUGAGACGAACCCUUAGCUUUCUCAGAAGCCGUAUGGUCAACACCAAAAUAAAACGCAAGGUCAGUACAGUUGGUUCAGGUCUGCAUCAGCUCCGUUCACCACAGCAGUCUGUUAAUGCAGCAUGUGAAAUGUGUGAGCGAGAUGACAAUGACAAACUCCAGCAGUGCAUAUAUUGCUUCAUGAUUGUACAUAAGACCUGCAGUGAUUCUUCCCCCUUGUGUUUAAAGAAUGCUGCAUCACUGAAAACCACAGACUUGUCAGUGCUACAGUACUCAUCCAGUCACAGUUCUCCAUCUCUGUUCCUGGCCAAUGACAACAUCAUUACACGCAGAAGGAAGCGGAGUAACAGUGAGGGGUGUGGCCAUGAUGUAACUUUACGGAAAAGUUUGUCUUUGAUUGAUUAUUCCUCUGGAAGAAGCGCCACCUCCAAUUCUUCAUUUGCUUACAUAUCAUUUGACUACACUGCUGAGUCUUGGAGUGCUGCGGUGGAUGUUGAAUUCAGUAUGACACUGGACAAAGAGGUGAUCAAGAGACAGGAAAUCAUCUAUGAACUGAUGCAGACCGAGUUUCACCACGUCCAGACUCUGUCUGUCAUGGCUGAUGUUUUAAGGCGGGGUUUAUCAGAGGAAGUGCAACUGGAGCAGGACGUGAUUGGUCAGAUUUUCCCCAGACUCGAUGAGCUCAUGGCUCAUCAUAGCAACUUUCUUCUUGCUAUGGAGACAAGACAGUGGGCUUCUGUUCAGCCAGGAAGACACAGGAAUUACAUUAUCCAACGCAUUGGAGACAUUCUGCUGCAGCAGUUCACAGCUCAACAUGGCUCUCAGAUGAUAGAGUUGUAUAGUGAUUUCUGCAGUCAGCAUCCAGAAGCACUAAAGAUUUAUAAACAACUGCUUCAGAGUAACAGAAAACUUCAGUUGUUCCUCAGACAGCAGAGUACAAACUCCGUCAUCAAACGACGUGAAAUCCCAGAAUUCCUAUUGCUUGUCACACAGAGGAUCACAAAGUACCCUGUUCUGCUGGAGAGACUACUUCAACACACAGAGGAUGGCAGCGCUGACAGGUACGAUAUUGCAGUGGCACUAGAGGCCCUGCGUGGGGUGAUAGAUGAGGUGGAGCGGCGUGUCGGUGAGCACGAGCGUUCCAAAAAACUACAAGACAUCAUCAAUCGCCUAGACAGUAAGAGCUGCACUCGUAUGAAGAACGGAGAGCUCUUCAGCAAACAAGACCUGCAGAAAAUGCAACACAGUCUCACGCAUUUAUCAUCGCUUGCAUGCAGAACCACCUCUGGCAGACUGAAAGAUGUUAUUGGCCUGCUCCUCACUGAUGUUUUGGCUUUCCUUCAGGAGAAAGAACAGAAGUUUGUCUUUGCCGCAUUGGAGCAGAAACCCUCUGUGAUGCCCUUACGGAGGCUGAUAGUACGAGAGAUAGCCAAUCAGGAAAGAGGAUUGUUUUUGAUCAGUAGUGAGUGCUCUGCAGGGCCAGAGAUGUACGAGAUACACACCCAGACCCGCGAGGAGCGAAACACCUGGAUGUCGAUGCUGAGACAGGCGACUGAGAGCCUUCAUGAUGAUCAAAUCAAGAAGACUGAGAUCAAAGUCAAGAAAGUACAGAAAUUACAAGCUGUGCUCUGUUAUUGAGGAGAAGUUGAGGAUCUGUAGAGGAACCAGUAGAUGGACUUUGGAUACCUGUCAUCUGCUUGUUCAGCCCCAUCCAGAAAACAGCCCUCAGGGUAUCACGAUGCUGUCUGAUGCACAAAAAGAGGUGGUAAAGGUGGCCAUUACUUUAUUGUCUUGGCUUUUCCCCUUCAUCUGGUCAUCAAGUAACCAUGACAACUAUGGCCAGGACAAAGUGAUC